ACUCCUACGGGAGGCAGCAGUGGGGAAUAUUGCACAAUGGGCGCAAGCCUGAUGCAGCCAUGCCGCGUGUGUGAAGAAGGCCUUCGGGUUGUAAAGCACUUUCAGUUGUGAGGAAGGUGGUGUCGUUAAUAGCGGCAUCAUUUGACGUUAGCAACAGAAGAAGCACCGGCUAACUCCGUGCCAGCAGCCGCGGUAAUACGGAGGGGUGCGAGCGUUAAUCGGAAUUACUGGGCGUAAAGCGCAUGCAGGUGGUUUGUUAAGUCAGAUGUGAAAGCCCGGGGCUCAACCUCGGAACUGCAUUUGAAACUGGCAGACUAGAGUACUGUAGAGGGGGUAGGAAUUUCAGGUGUAGCGGUGAAAUGCGUAGAGAUCUGAAGGAAUACCGGUGGCGAAGGCGGCCCCCUGGACAGAUACUGACACUCAGAUGCGAAAGCUGGGGAGCAAACAGGAUUAGAUACCCUGGUAGCACAGAG
rnacentral:rRNA from 1 species